GCCCACAAUGCACAGCUACUUCCGCCCUCGGAUGCCCCGCCCCCUUUUUUCCGAGAGAAAGGGAGAGAGAAACAUGGAAGUAUUACUCUAUUCAGAAUUCUUUUGGUGCUGAUCUUGGUGUUCCCACAUGUUGGGGCCUGAGAAAACUGAAGGCAGCUUUAUAUACUGUUGAGAAGAAAGAAAACCAGCCAGCAGUUGGACUGUACUGAACGGUUGAAUGAAGCCCUUUUAGCAGCUGGAAAAAUUCCAUUGGCUCCAGUCACUCCUUGAUUUGUAAAAAAAAAAAUUCGUGACCUUC